GUGUUCAUAUAAUUACAAAGAACCUCAAACACCACUACAUACAUAAUUACUGUCUACCAAAGUCAUGAUUCUCACAACUCUAUACCCCCAUAGACAUCUCUUACAGUGGCUAAAUAAAAAAGCAUUGCAUAAUCUCAUCAAAUAAUUGACUAAAAAAUCAUCCCUGAAUUAGACUCACCAUAUGCAAGCAUUCAUAGUCAAUUGUUACUUGGAUAAUUUCACAUUAUAUUCAUAUGCUCACAAAAAAACAAAUAAUAAAAAAUACGAACCCUUAAUUUGCCAUUCACGAUGCUAAUAAAUAAGAAUCCAGCACCAUAGUCCAUUAUAUUUGGUCUUUUAGCACUGGUUGCCAACUUCUUUGGCCUAUCCACCAUAUCUCGCCACCUAGUUUGCACUGUAGCCUCGCCGGACCAAGAGAAGGAGAAGAAAAAGAAUAGGGGUCAUUAGCUUCUCCUCAUCCACCUUAACCCUUUGUCCUGACUACCUUAAUUAAGAAGCAGAAUCGAUAUGAGAAUAUGAGUCCGAUUCGAAACCACUGUGAGCCGUCGUGCGAGUAAGAACCUAAAUCUUAGCCACCAUGAAGAUUGGGGUUUCAUUGUUGAGAACCACCGCAAACCACCAUCAUUGCCAUGCCGGACAGAUGGAGAAGACGAAAUUCAGAGAUGACCCCCUUUGUUACUACCAUUAACCGGAGAAGAGAUGAUGAAAGGAUGGUGAAGAUUUCAACCCAAUUUGGGGUUCUUAGUGGAACGAAGCCCACUGUUGGGGCUUUUUAAUUAGCUUAGUGAAAUGAAAAGAGGUAACCGAAUGUUACCCCAUUUUGCUUAAAUCCAAAUAUUUAAUAUAUUUAUUUAUAUUAUUUAUUCAUACAUUAUAUAUUUUGAUAUUAGUAUAUAUUAGUUGUUAGCAAUUACAUUCAGAUGUAUAUUAAUUGGUAGAUUUCAUGUCAAAUAAAGAUUAUAUGGUUUACCCUAAGUUAUGUAAACAUAUGUUUUUAAUUAAAAUAAAGCCUAAUGAUAAUAUAUCUUUUAAAAGUAAUAACUUUUAUUAGUGAUUAAGAGUUAGUUAUUGUUAUUCUUUUUCUGCUGAGUAAAUUGGUAUAUUUGUCACAUGUAAAAUAUGUCAACUUAUCACAUGCCUAAGUGGUUGUUAGGUUGUUAAGAUCAAUAACUACCUUAUGUAGUUACUAGUUUGUUACAUUCUGUUUUGCUUUCCCUUUAUUUAAAGGGACAAGCUAAUUCAUUGUAUAAUUGAGUUGUUUUCAAUAAAACAUCCGAGGUAUAUUCAGUUUCAAGAUUCUUUCUUUCUAUUUUCUUUAUCUUUUCACAUGGUAUCAAUCGCCCUUAUGGCCACUGCCACAAAUCCUUCCUCUCCACCACCUUCCCAUACCUCUGCUCCUCCUAUUCGAGCUGUAUCUCCAUCACUUUCACUUCCUAUCCCCUCUACUAAACUCAGUGAGAAAUAUAUGAACCUCUUUAUCACUGUUUUUGUGUAAUGUCCACAUUUUUUUUCUCAACCUUCUGUCCUUUUCUUGUGCUCUUUUUCUUUUUCUCCAUUUGCCAAUGUCUCUCCUUUUACCUUCUGAUUCUCUAUCUUUUUAACGUGUUGUGCCUUUCUUGUACCUGUUACUCUCUGGUUUUUUUUUUUCAUUUUCUAGUGUGCCCUCCUUUCAAAAGAGUACUGAACCCACUUUUCCCUAAAACCAAGUAACUGCUUGCCACUAUCCAGGUUAGUUACAAUAGUUUGUUUUUUUCUUCUCCACUUUCUUUUGUCAUUUUUAUAUUAAUUUAUUCAUUUUCGAAAUAAUAAUUAAAUAUAUAUUUAUUUUACUUUGAUAAAGUACCUGAUGUUAAAAUUAUGAUUUUUUUGUUUUUUUUUGCCAUACAAAAAAUGGGUAUUCACAAUUGUCUCUCUUUACUUGUUCCUUACAUGAUAACAAACCAAACUGAGAUUUGUGAGAUAUCAUGAUAAGUAACCAAUAAAGAAAUGAAUGCUAGUUUUGUCAAGGCCUGUAAAAAUUUACUUGAUAACAUCUCAUUGCUUGAAAGUGCCUAUCAUUUUGAAUGCAAUGUUAUCUUCAACAUGAUCUAAGUUUACCCCUGAAAGGUGUGACAAAGAUGGAUGUGAGCCAAAAACACAUGUUAGUGCUGGUAUUUGGAGACUUAAUGAUGAAAGCAAAAAAUGCAGGUCAGUAUACUGUUGAAACUUGGGGUGACAAGGUGAAACCAAAGAUGCAGGUUGGUGUACAACCAAAAUUUGGAAUGAAAAUGUCAAACCAAGGACGUAGGUUGGUGAACUGCUAGAAUUUGGAGUGAAAAGUUGAAACCAAAGUUGCAGGUUGGUGUACUGCUAAAAUUUGAAGUGGUAAGGCGAAACUAAAGACGCAUGUUGGUGUAUUGCCAUAAUUUGGAAUGAAAAGAUGAAACCAAAGACGUAGGUUGGUGUACUACUAGAAUUUGGAGACACAAGGGUAAAAGCCAAGAGCGUAGGUUGAUGUAUUACCAGAACUUGGGGUGAGAAGUUGAAACCAAAGACGCAAGUUGGUGUACUGCCAGAAUUUGGAGUGAUAAGGUAAAACCAAAGACACAUGUUGGUGUAUUGCCAGAAUUUGGAGACGUAAGCUAUUUGAAUAUGAGAUGCCAUGUUUUUGUUGUUUCAUUUUUGUAUGAAAUGCAUAUGAUUGUUAUUGAUGCAUGUUAUGAGAUGCUUGUGUAUGGUAAUUCUAUAAUUUUUCAAAUCGAAUUGAGUUGUAAUUGGUAUUCAUCGCUAUUGCUCCACCGCAUCCUCAACAAUUGGUUGUAGAUUGCUAUUUGCGGGGAACGAAGUUGUUUACGUGACGAAUAACUCUAUCUUUCAGUAGUAAAAUGCUCUUUUCUUUCAAAUACUGAUCAGAACAACAUAUUUAAAGUUCAUAAGAUAGUACAAGUUUAAUAAAAACAUGCUAUGCAACCAAGAAACUUUAAUUCAUAUACGGAUAAGGAAAUACAAACGUGUUUGGCUUUUUGGGUUAUGGGUGGAGUUACGGGAGUUUGUUAUAAAUAACAAAACAUGUUAGAACCCCACUAUACAAUCACUGACUAUCCAAAAAUUGCCCUAGUAAAUUGUCUUAAUUUUUCCAAAAAUUUGCUCGAGUAUUGGCUUAUUGGCUUGUGCUCUUCAGAGAUAUUUCCUUUUCUUUUUUCUUUUGUCCCUAAUUUUUGCUUUGACUGCUCUUUCGGGUUUUUGACCUAGCGAUAUUUGUUCAUUUUUUUAAGAGUGUUUGUGUAUUGGUCACACUAUGCCUAGUCAUUUGGUGCCAUUGGUGUUUAUCUCAAACAAUUCGAAUCUUAACAAGGACUUUUUAGCCUUGUAAUGUGGUAUGGUUAGAGAUUUAAAAGAAUAUAAGACUCAAAUGAUGUGUUUUCUGUCCCAUACUUUCUCCAUAAUCCUCCUAUAUUUCAACCAUGGAUACAAUUUCCAUUCCUUUUGGAAAAUGAAAGCUUUGUAACCAUUCUAGUUUGAGAUUUUGUUUUUAAUUUGGCCUAUCUUUUGCCUAAGGUUUUACUAAAAAUCAUAGUAGUCUCUCUUUGUAAUCCACUUGAUCCAUUUCUAGAUCUUUUGAAGUUUUAUUGGAAAUCUUAGCACUCAAUCCUUGUAUGUCACCACCAUCUUCUGAACAAUCUUCUUAAUAUUCUUGUUUGUUGCUUCUACUGCUCCGUUCAUCUUAGGGCGAUAAGGCGAUGAUGUGUGAUGCUUGAUUUUAAAUUCGCUACACAUCUCGUUCAUCAUCUUAUUGUUUAGGUUGGUGGCAUUGUCUGUUAUGAUCUUGCUGGGUAACCCAUAUCUACACACCAACUCCUUGAUAAAUCAGAGUACCACUGUCCUGGUCACAUUGGCAUGUGAACACGCCUCACCCCACUUCGGGAAGUAGUUGAUGACCACGAGGAUGAAGUGAUGCCCAUUAGAAGCUUUUGGCUUUUACCUUUGUGUCUCCAAAUUUUGGCAGUACACAAACCUGUGUCUUUGGUUUGACCUUUUCAUUCCAAAUUUUGGCACUACACCAAUCUACGUCUUUAGUUUCGCCUUUACGACUCCAAAUUCGGGCAAUACAUAAACCUGCGUCUUUGGUUUCACCUUUUCAUUCCGAAUUCAUGAAGUAGUUGUGAAUACCCAUUUUUUGUCCGGAUCAUAGAAAGUGAAUAAAUUAAUAUAAAAAUGGCAAUAGAAAGUGGAGAAGAAAAAAAUUAACUAAUUAUAACCAACCUGGAUAGUGGCAAGCAGUUACCUGAUUUUAGGGAAAAGUGGGUUUAAUUUUAUCUCUAUUUUAAUGCAUGAUGAACUCUUUUGAAAGAAGGGCAUGCUAGAAAACGAAAAACCAGAAAGUAAUAAGUACAAAAAAAGGCACAAUCCGUUAAAAAGAUAGAGAACCAAAUGGUAAAAGGAGAGAUAUUGGAAAAAAGAGAAAAAGAAAAGGAGCAUAGGAAAAGGACAGAACAUAAAGACUGAGAAGAAAAAGUGGACAUAACACAAAAACAGUGAUAAAGAGGUUCAUAUCAAGCAAGACCAGGUUAGUGUUAUUUCUCAAUGCACUCAUAAGAAUUCUUACAUAACAUCAUCUAGAUCAUUGUGAGGAUAUUCAAUUUAAAAUCACAUUCACAAGAAUGUUAUACUAUUUAUAAUAAAGGUGUUCAUAUAAUUACAAAGAACCUCAAACACCACUACAUACAUAAUUACUGUCUACCAAAGUCAUGAUUCUCACAACUCUAUACCCCCAUAGACAUCUCUUACAGUGGCUAAAUAAAAAAGCAUUGCAUAAUCUCAUCAAAUAAUUGACUAAAAAAUCAUCCCUGAAUUAGACUCACCAUAUGCAAGCAUUCAUAGUCAAUUGUUACUUGGAUAAUUUCACAUUAUAUUCAUAUGCUCACAAAAAAACAAAUAAUAAAAAAUACGAACCCUUAAUUUGCCAUUCACGAUGCUAAUAAAUAAGAAUCCAGCACCAUAGUCCAUUAUAUUUGGUCUUUUAGCACUGGUUGCCAACUUCUUUGGCCUAUCCACCAUAUCUCGCCACCUAGUUUGCACUGUAGCCUCGCCGGACCAAGAGAAGGAGAAGAAAAAGAAUAGGGGUCAUUAGCUUCUCCUCAUCCACCUUAACCCUUUGUCCUGACUACCUUAAUUAAGAAGCAGAAUCGAUAUGAGAAUAUGAGUCCGAUUCGAAACCACUGUGAGCCGUCGUGCGAGUAAGAACCUAAAUCUUAGCCACCAUGAAGAUUGGGGUUUCAUUGUUGAGAACCACCGCAAACCACCAUCAUUGCCAUGCCGGACAGAUGGAGAAGACGAAAUUCAGAGAUGACCCCCUUUGUUACUACCAUUAACCGGAGAAGAGAUGAUGAAAGGAUGGUGAAGAUUUCAACCCAAUUUGGGGUUCUUAGUGGAACGAAGCCCACUGUUGGGGCUUUUUAAUUAGCUUAGUGAAAUG
rnacentral:lncRNA from 1 species